rnacentral:rRNA from 1 species
AAUCAACGCUGGCGGCGUGCCUCAGACAUGCAAGUCGAACGAUUAAAGCUCUCUUCGGAGAGUGUAUAGAGUGGCGCACGGGUGAGUAACACGUAAGUAAUCUACCCUCGGGUGGGAAGUAACAUCGGGAACCGAUGCUAAUACCGCAUAAUGCAGCGGCUCCUAAUGGAGACAGUUGUUAAAGGAUUUAUUCGCCUGAGGAGGAGCUUGCGGCAGAUUAGCUAGUUGGUAAGGUAAUGGCUUACCAAGGCUACGAUCUGUAGCCGGUCUAAGAGGACGGUCGGUCACACUGACACUGAAUAACGGGUCAGACUCCUACGGGAGGCAGCAGUCGGGAAUUUUGGG